rnacentral:sRNA from 1 species
GCUGGGCAUGGUGGCGCAGGCCUGUAAUCCCAGUGGCUCAGGAGGCUGAGUCAGGAGGAUCACAGGUUCAAAGCCAGCCUCAGCAAAAAUGAGGCACUAAGCAACUCAGCGAGACCCUGUCUCUA